GAGAUAUUAGUAAAACAAUUACAUAACUUUGUCGAAGUUAAUUUAUAGGUUAUAACCCUUUAUAUCUUCC
rnacentral:tRNA from 1 species